CUAACAGGGAGCUUUGCAGCAGGCAGGGAAUACUCCUGAAACUGCAAAUGUCCCAGGAGGGAGGUGAGAGAGGCUUCCAAUGCUGAGCACAGAGAGGUCUGCUCAGUCCUCCUGCAAACAGCUGAUGAGUGGCAAAACUUGCUUUCAGAAUUGAUAAAAGCACCCCUAAGGGAGCUGAUGGCUUACAGAAUUACUUCCAAGAGGAAACUCUUUCACUCAGAUGACUGCAAACUGGAUCAAACUGAACUCCACAAGCACGCUGCAUUUUGAAAAGUAAUUGUGCUCAGGAUCGUCCUGGCUGCUGUGUUGUAAACAGACUACCUGGGCUAAAGGGCAGAAGGAGAUCAGUUAUGGCAAUCCUGGCUACUGAUGAUGAAAACUUGGACCCAGGAGUUGCAAUGGAAGCAAUGAAAAGAGCAGAAGUUUCUGGAUUCAUUUUAAAUUUAGAACUGACCAGUGAAAUCUCUAAUGACUUUCAAAAGGGCAGAAGUCAGUCAUCAAGAUGGAGAUGAGGCAACGAAAGACUGAAUAAUUCACACCAUGGAUAUUCAAUGCCUGAAUGAUGUACAGUGACUGUGUGUAAAGUCAAAGGAAAGGAGGUGGAGUUAUUUGUAAUAACCAUUCCUUUUAAUGAAUUUAUUUAGAUAUUUUAAGUGUUCUCUGGAAUCAGCUGACAAUGUGAGGUUCCCAGAGACCAGGGGACACAAUUCCUAAUUAGGAUGAGGAGGCUUAGCAGCCAACCUUGGAACCGUGUACCAUGCUCAGCCUCCGAUAUGGCUAAAAUACAAUCUCUUUGUACUCAUGACACAGGGAUCUAUUCCACAACCAAAAAUGCUGUUGAAAUUUCUAGAGUUGGUUCAUUUUCAUAAGUGAAAUUGACCACUUUUAAAUCUGAGAGAACUAGAAAAGGAAGAUGUUAUUUGGGUCUGCAAGUCUGGUCUAGGCACGCUUUCUCUGCUUUUCCUAUAAAUACUGUUCCACUUAUGACUCCUGUAGCAAAUAUCAGUUGAAUUAUAAUUUACCAUCACUAUAUUGCUGGUUUGUAUUAAAAGAAAAAAAAAACCUUUGGUUAACAUCUGAGUUUGGUUUGAGGGAAAGGAUAUUAAUUAGAUC
rnacentral:lncRNA from 1 species